rnacentral:rRNA from 1 species
UGGGGAAUUUUGGACAAUGGGCGCAAGCCUGAUCCAGCAAUGCCGCGUGCAGGAUGAAGGCCUUCGGGUUGUAAACUGCUUUUGUACGGAACGAAAAGCCUCUCUCUAAUACAGGGGGUGAUGACGGUACCGUAAGAAUAAGCACCGGCUAACUACGUGCCAGCAGCCGCGGUAAUACGUAGGGUGCAAGCGUUAAUCGGAAUUACUGGGCGUAAAGCGUGCGCAGGCGGUUUUGUAAGACAGUGGUGAAAUCCCCGGGCUCAACCUGGGAACUGCCAUUGUGACUGCAAGGCUGGAGUGCGGCAGAGGGGGAUGGAAUUCCGCGUGUAGCAGUGAAAUGCGUAGAUAUGCGGAGGAACACCGAUGGCGAAGGCAAUCCCCUGGGCCUGCACUGACGCUCAUGCACGAAAGCGUGGGGAGCAAACAGGAUUAGAUACCCUGGUAGUCCACGCCCUAAAACGAUGUCAACUGGUUGUUGGGGAUUUAUUUCUUCAGUAACGAAGCUAACGCGUGAAGUUGACCGCCUGGGGGAGUACGGCCGCAAGGUU